rnacentral:rRNA from 1 species
UACGUAGGGUGCGAGCGUUGUCCGGAAUUAUUGGGCGUAAAGGGCUCGUAGGCGGUUUGUCGCGUCGGGAGUGAAAACCCAGGGCUUAACCCUGGGCUGGCUUCCGAUACGGGCAGACUAGAGUACGGCAGGGGAGACUGGAAUUCCUGGUGUAGCGGUGAAAUGCGCAGAUAUCAGGAGGAACACCGGUGGCGAAGGCGGGUCUCUGGGCCGUAACUGACGCUGAGGAGCGAAAGCGUGGGGAGCGAACAGG